rnacentral:lncRNA from 1 species
UUUCAAGACCGAAUAUCCUUUUCUACGAGUUAAAUUAACUCUAUCAUUUCUAAUUACCCUGCUUUCAGUUCCAGUCUUCCUCAGAUCUCCAGAGUGGUGGAGCUGCCCCAGUGGCUAAAGAUCUGGACGUCUGGUGCUUUGCCUGAGCCCUGCGUGUGAGCCCCUCCAGGGUUUGGACCUCACUGGUGAGCAGUCAUUUUUAGCCUCAUUCCACAGUGUUCA